rnacentral:rRNA from 1 species
UACAGGGGGUGCGAGCGUUGUUCGGAAUUACUGGGCGUAAAGCGCGUGUAGGCGGUCUACUAAGUCAGAUGUGAAAGCCUGGGGCUUAACUCCAGAAGUGCAUUUGAAACUAUUAGGCUAGAGUGAUGUAGAGGAUGGCGGAAUACCCAGUGUAGAGGUGAAAUUCGUAGAGAUUGGGUAGAACACCGGUGGCGAAGGCGGCCAUCUGGGCAUUAACUGACGCUGAGACGCGAAAGCGUGGGGAGCAAACAGG